rnacentral:rRNA from 1 species
UACAGAGGUCUCAAGCGUUGUUCGGAAUCACUGGGCGUAAAGGGCGCGUAGGCGGCAUGCCAAGCGUGUGGUGAAAGCCCGGGGCUCAACCCCGGGUCGGCCGUGCGGACUGGCGUGCUCGAGCACUGUAGGGGCGGGUGGAAUUCCGGGUGUAGCGGUGGAAUGCGUAGAGAUGUGGAGGAACACCAGUGGCGAAGGCGACUUUCUGGCCUGUUCUUGACGCUGAGGCGCGAAAGCUAGGGGAGCAAACGGG